rnacentral:tRNA from 1 species
GCCUGGGUGGCUCAGUUGGUUAAGCAUCAGACUCUAGCUUUCAGCUCAGGUCACAAUCUCACAGUUUGUGGGCUCAAACCCCACAUCAGGCU